rnacentral:rRNA from 1 species
CACGGGGGGAGCAAGCGUUGUUCGGAUUCAUUGGGCGUAAAGGGCUCGUAGGUGGCUUUGUAAGUCGGAGGUGAAAUCCCACGGCUCAACCGUGGACACGCCUUCGAAACUGUGAAGCUUGAGGCUGGGAGAGGAGAUCGGAAUUCCUGGUGUAGCGGUGAAAUGCGUAGAUAUCAGGAGGAACACCGGUGGCGAAGGCGGCAUCCUGGACCAAUAUUGACGCUGAGGAGCGAAAGCCAGGGGAGCAAACGGG